UCUCACUCUGCCACCCAGGCUGGAGUGCUUUGGCACCAUCUUGGCUCACUGCAGCCUGAACCUCCUGGGCUCAAGCCAUCCUCCCACCUCAGCCUCCUGAGAAGCUGGGACUAUAGGCUUGUACUACUGAGCCUGGCUAAUUUUUGUAUUUUUUGGAGAGACGGGUUUUACCGUGUCACCCAGGCUGGUCUCAAACUCCUGGAUUCAAGUAAUCCACCCACGUUGGCCUCCCAGUGUUGGGAUUACAGGUGUGAGCCACUGCACAGGGCUUUAUCUCACCUUCUCACUAGGCAUGGAUGCCUCCUUCCAAACUCAGGCUGAGUGGUCUUCAGAUCAGACGGCAGACUCCCUGUGGAGGAGAAAAAGAGUAGUUGGGAAAGUCAAGGGGGCUGUGAACUGAUUCCUGUGAUCCAGAGAUGUCGGGGGGCUGAGCAGAUGCAUAGCCAAGUGUGGGACCUGGGUUCUUCCCUGAGUUCUCCAACUCCCUAACAGAUUUUGAGCACCUCCCUGCCUCCUUGGGCCUCAGUUUUCCCUUAUAUAACUGUUCUUCCAGUCCUCACCAUCUGCAGUCCCAUUUUUAAUGCCCUGUGCUCUCUGCUCUGGGCAAGUUUUCUGUUGAAGGUGGCAGCGGGGAGGUGUCGGCAUUCUUAGGAAAGAAUAAAACAAUCCAGGCUGAGAAGGAACACACUUGCUCAUCCAGCACAGCUGUGCUUGUGGAGUUCAGGGCUGGGUGGAUUUAUGAAGAAUAGAGGUGUAGACUCUAGAUGGUUGUCAUCCCUCCUCUGAAACAAGGUAUCAGGGCUGUGGGUCCCCGGAACCUGUGCUCCCCGGGCUGGAGACACCCUCCCUGUGGGGGGGUCUGUGUGCGGAGCACCAUGGUGAAGCCUUCCCUAUGGAGGGGAGCCCUUCAGGCUUGUGGGCUCUUUGAGGCCAAGGCCUUGAUGAGGGAGACAUAAGAUAGGAGAACAAGGAGGUAUAUGCAGCUUCAAAGGGGCCUGAUUCUGUACCCCACCUUGGGCCUGACCCAACUCUGUCUUUUGUCGGGAGAUAUCUGAAGAACUCUGUGUGGCCGCUGACUCCCUGUGAGUGCUUGGGAAAUUCCUCUAACCCCUAUGAGCCUCCAUUUCUUCAUUUAUCAAAUGGGCUAACAAUGUUUAUCUCAUAGGGCUGAGUGCUCCUCAGGUAAGAUAAUGUUCAUAAACCAGCUGUCUGUAUCAGAAUGUCCCAGGAAGAUGUCAGCUGCUAUUAUUCUUUGUUCUCAGGUUGAUGUACACAGAAGCAAUACAUCUCAGUUGAGACGAAUUCUGUCCUAAGGUGGUUUGGCAAAGAUGAUUACAAGAAGACGCCGCGGAAAGAGAAGGGGAAGCUGCAGAGUAACCUCCGUGAGGAGCAGCAGAGGUGGAGAAGGUGGUGAGUCUCCUGGACCCCUACUGGGUCAGAACAGUCAGGAGGUGAGGCUUAUUGGUCAUAGCCACCAGCCCGUAUGGAUGUCUUGCUGGAGUGACUGCGCUGCCCAGGUCGGGCUGAUCCUAGUAAGUAGGUGUCCUGGGAAGAGGAGAAGCUGGCUUUGCUCAGGGAUAAGAGGACCCAGGAACAGUGCUAUUGGCCAUCUGAAGUGACUUUGGUGCUUCAUGAAUAAACCAAUCAACAUUAAAUAGCUAUAUGGAUGGAUUCAAAACCCACCUAUAGAAAUUAACAAGUUGGGCUGAGAGGCCUGGGAAAAGGGACUGUGGCUUCAUAGGGCAGUGGUGACUUUAUGGCCACUGUUCCUUUCUCCAGAGCUGAGGAACUUGGCUGCUGAUUCCGAGCAGAGUUGGGGAAAGAGUUCCCGCUCCAUCAAAGAGUCAUUUGUCUAAGUCCGGUGUCUAAGAAGUGGUAUUCCCAGAAAACAUUCUCCUUUCUCUCUGGACAUGUAUCUUCCAAGGAAACAUCUCUUUAACCUGUGUCGUUGCCUUCUGGUUGGAGCAGCUUUGGAGAUGUCCUAAGGGCCAUCAGCCUAACAAGCACACUGCUCCAUCCACUUGCUACCACAACAACCCACUCCCUCCUGGUCCCAGCUCCAGCCCUCAUGAGGUGGAGUGCUCCCCUCCCACCCGCCCAUCUCUCCAAGCCACAGCUUUCCUGGAGGAAAUGGAAUGAGGACAUGGAAGGAAGAGGGAGGCAGAGGCCUACAUUCUCCUCCAGCUCUGCCCUUUUUCCAGCCCAGCCUCUUGGAUCCUCAGUCUUUCCAUCAGAAACACCUGAGCCCCUGAGGAAAGGGAGCAUGCUGCAAGGACCUCUACGGUGAUGUUCAGGGAGAGGGAUGCACCUGCAGCCUCUCCAUAGCAUGAAGGGCAAAACAUCAAUACACAGGCAGAGUCCUCAGGGUUUCCCGUGUCAAAUGGAGCUCUCCAAGUUCUGAUGUGAGUGGGGAGAAGAGACACCAUUGAUGACAAAACCCCAGAGAAAACUUCUGAGAAGUAGAAAUGCUGGGCCAUGGAGUGAACACAUUUAAUGUUUUGGCAUGUAUCACCAAACUGCUCUCUGUGAAGUGCGAAGAAUCCUCACUUCUGUCCACCACAGUUUUUUUUUUACCUGCA
rnacentral:lncRNA from 10 species